UUGGAGGGCAAGUCUGGUGUCAGCAGCCGCGGUAAUUCCAGCUCCAAUAGCGUAUAUUAAAGUUGUUGCAGUUAAAAAGCUCGUAGUUGAAUUUCGGGGUUCUACCGUUGGUCGGGCUUUGUCUGUACUGGCGUGUAGAAUUUCUACCUUCUGGGGAACCAUNAUGUUAUUAAUUUAACGUGGUGGGAAACCAGGACCUUUACCUUGAAAAAAUUAGAGUGUUCAAAGCAGGCUUAUGUCUGAAUACAUUAGCAUGGAAUAAUAAAAUAGGACGGUGGUCCUGUUUUGUUGGUUUCUGAAUCACCGUAAUGAUUAAUAGGGAUAGGUGGGGGCAUUAGUAUUCAAUUGUCAGAGGUGAAAUUCUUGGAUUUAUUGAAGACUAACUACUGCGAAAGCAUUUGCCAAGGAUGUUUUCAUUAAUCAAGAACGAAAGUUAGGGGAUCGAAGACGAUCAGAUACCGUCGUAGUCUUAACCAUAAACUAUGCCGACUAGGGAUCGGACGANGUUAAUCCUUCUUGACUCGUCGUUCGGCGCCUUACGGGAAAC
rnacentral:rRNA from 1 species